rnacentral:rRNA from 1 species
CCUACGGGUGGCAGCAGUAGGGAAUAUUGCUCAAUGGGGGAAACCCUGAAGCAGCAACGCCGCGUGGAGGAUGACGGUUUUAGGAUUGUAAACUCCUUUUGUUAGAGGAGUUUAUGACGGUAUCUAACGAAUAAGCACUGGCUAACUCCGUGCCAGCAGCCGCGGUAAUACGGAGGGGGCAAGCGUUACACGGAUUCACUGGGCGUAAAGCGUGCGUAGGCGGGUUAAUAAGUCAGAUGUGAAAUCCUGUAGCUUAACUACAGAACUGCAUUUGAAACUGGUACUCUGGAGUGUGGGAGAGGUAGGAGGAAUUCGUGGUGUAGGGGUAAAAUCCGUAGAUAUCAAGAGGAAUACUCAUUGCGAAGGCGACCUGCUGGAACAUUACUGACGCUGAUGCACGAAAGCGUGGGGAGCAAACAGGAUUAGAUACCCUAGUAGUC